CAGCCGCCGCGGGAAUACGGAGGGAGCUAGCGUUGUUCGGAAUUACUGGGCGUAAAGCGCGCGUAGGCGGUUACUCAAGUCAGAGGUGAAAGCCCGGGGCUCAACCCCGGAACUGCCUUUGAAACUAGGUGACUAGAAUCUUGGAGAGGUCAGUGGAAUUCCGAGUGUAGAGGUGAAAUUCGUAGAUAUUCGGAAGAACACCAGUGGCGAAGGCGACUGACUGGCUCAUACUGGACGCUGAGGUGCGAAAGCGUGGGGAGCAAACAGGAUUAGAGACCCCUGUAGUCCCUGUCUCUUAUAC
rnacentral:rRNA from 1 species